rnacentral:pre_miRNA from 1 species
AAAGUACUACCUCCGUUUCAUAAUUCUUGUCUCAAAUUUGCCAAAAAAUGAAUGUAUCCGUUCGCUAAAAAAUAUCUAGAUACAUGUAAUAUUUCGACAAGAAUUAUGGAACGGAGGGAGUAACAA